rnacentral:rRNA from 1 species
GGUGUAGGCGGCUUGGCAAGUGUCCUGUGAAAGCCCCCGGCUCAACCGGGGAACUGCAGGGCAAACUGCCCGGCUUGAGCUCGGUAGAGGUGCCUGGAACUCUAGGUGGAGCGGUGAAAUGCGUAGAUAUCUAGAGGAACGCCAGAGGCGAAAGCGGGGCACUGGGCCGAUGCUGACGCUGAGACCCGAAAGCGUGGGGAGCAAACA